UACAGAGGGUGCGAGCGUUAAUCGGAAUUACUGGGCGUAAAGCGCACGUAGGUGGCGACGUAAGUCGGGUGUGAAAGCCCCGGGCUCAACCUGGGAAUUGCAUUCGAGACUGCAUUGCUGGAGUACGGAAGAGGAAGGCGGAAUUCCCGGUGUAGCGGUGAAAUGCGUAGAUAUGCGGAGGAACACCGAUGGCGAAGGCAAUCCCCUGGGCCUGCACUGACGCUCAUGCACGAAAGCGUGGGGAGCAAACAGG
rnacentral:rRNA from 1 species